rnacentral:rRNA from 1 species
CCUUGGGCUACGACACGUGCUACAAUGGCCGGUACGAGACGGACGCGAAAGCCGCGAGGUGGGAGCAAAUCCUAAAAAGACCGGUCUCAGUUCGGAUUGCAGGCUGCAAUUCGCCUGCAUGAAGUCGGAAUCGCUAGUAAUCGCAGGUCAGCAUACUGCGGUGAAUACGUUCCCGGGCCUU